CCUACGGGAGGCUGCAGUGGGGAAUAUUGGACAAUGGGGGGAACCCUGAUCCAGCCAUGCCGCGUGUGUGAAGAAGGCCCUCGGGUUGUAAAGCACUUUCAGUGAGGAAGAACGCCUGGUGGUUAAUACCCAUCAGGAAAGACAUCACUCACAGAAGAAGCACCGGCUAACUCCGUGCCAGCAGCCGCGGUAAUACGGAGGGUGCGAGCGUUAAUCGGAAUUACUGGGCGUAAAGCGCGCGUAGGUGGCUUGAUAAGCCGGUUGUGAAAGCCCCGGGCUCAACCUGGGAACGGCAUCCGGAACUGUCAAGCUAGAGUGCAGGAGAGGAAGGUAGAAUUCCCGGUGUAGCGGUGAAAUGUGUAGAGAUCGGGAGGAAUACCAGUGGCGAAGGCGGCCUUCUGGACUGACACUGACACUGAGGUGCGAAAGCGUGGGUAGCAAACAGGAUUAGAUACCCUUGUAGUC
rnacentral:rRNA from 1 species